rnacentral:rRNA from 1 species
ACUCCUACGGGAGGCAGCAGUGGGGAAUCUUGGACAAUGGGGGCGAACCCUGAUCCAGCCAUGCCGCGUGAGUGAAGAAGGCCUUAGGGUCGUAAAGCUCUUUCGCCUGUGAAGAUAAUGACGGUAGCAGGUAAAGAAACCCGGCUAACUCCGUGCCAGCAGCCGCGGUAAUACGGAGGGGUUAGCGUUGUUCGGAAUUACUGGGCGUAAAGCGCGCGUAGGCGGACCAGAAAGUUGGGGGUGAAAUCCCGGGGCUCAACCCCGGAACUGCCUCCAAAACUCCUGGUCUUGAGUUCGAGAGAGGUGAGUGGAAUUCCGAGUGUAGAGGUGAAAUUCGUAGAUAUUCGGAGGAACACCAGUGGCGAAGGCGGCUCACUGGCUCGAUACUGACGCUGAGGUGCGAAAGUGUGGGGAGCAAACAGGAUUAGAUACCCUGGUAGGACAGUG